CGGACGGGUGAGUAAUGUCUGGGAAACUGCCUGAUGGAGGGGGGUAACUACUGGAAACGGUAGCUAAUACCGCAUAACGUCGCAAGACCAAAGAGGGGGACCUUCGGACCUCUUGCCAUCGGAUGUGCCCAGAUGGGAUUAGCUAGUAGGUGGGGUAAAGGCUCACCUAGGCGACGAUCCCUAGCUGGUCUGAGAGGAUGACCAGCCACACUGGAACUGAGACACGGUCCAG
rnacentral:rRNA from 1 species